rnacentral:rRNA from 1 species
UACGUAUGUGGCAAGCGUUGUCCGGAUUUACUGGGCGUAAAGAGCGCGCAGGCGGUCGUUCAAGUCGAGUGUGAAAGCCCCCGGCUCAACUGGGGAGGGUCACUCGAUACUGAUCGACUCGAAGGCAGAAGAGGGAAGCGGAAUUCCCGGUGUAGUGGUGAAAUGCGUAGAUAUCGGGAGGAACACCAGUGGCGAAGGCGGCUUUCUGGACCAAUACUGACGAUCAGGUGCGAAAGCGUGGGGAGCAAACAGG